rnacentral:lncRNA from 1 species
CUGCGUCUCUGCGAGCUGCCAAGAGGCAGCUCCCUCUCUCCCCUCUGUCUUUGCCUCUUAUUCUGUUUUUCCCCUUCUCACGCUGCUCAAAGCAGCCCUCCAUCCUUCCACCUGUCUCUCCCGCUGCCCCCUGCUUCUCUCUUUUUCUCACGCUGCCCCCACCGCAAGGCAGCUGUCUUAUUUUCUUAUUUUCUUUUUCGCUGGCAGCUUUGCUGCCUCUCUCUCCUCCCGCGUCAAUCUCCUCUUUUCCACGCUGCAAAGGCAGCUUUAUCUAUAUUCUUCUCCUGUUUCUCAAGGCUGCAAGACAACCUUUUUUUUCCUUAGCUGUCCCGCCUGCUUUCAUGCCUGGCGCUCCGCAAGUCUCUCCUUGGAUUCUCGUUGUCUUUCCUUUUUUUCUUGGAUCCCCUUUCUUUAUUUUAUACCUCUUGCUGUCCUUGGAUUCUUCCUUGACAAAAUAAUACAAAACUAAUUUGUAUCAUAAACUCUAAAUUAGUAACAGUUGGGAAUUAAGAACAAAUUCAAGUAACAAAUCCAAAACCAAUAUUCUAUGAAACAAUCAAUUCAAUGCAUAUAAAAUAAACCAAAAUAAACCAAAAUAAAACCCAAUCCAAAAAUAAAACCAAUAUUCUUUCUGUUUAUUAUUUAAAACUCAUUUGUGCUUAUUUUUAUUUUCUUUGCAUAACAAAUCCUAUAAACAUAAAAAUAACGUAAAUAGCUCAAAAAUAUAAGGAACUAACUAAGAAAAGACGAGUGAAUUCGAAGUAAAAAUAUAUAUAAAUAUGAUCCGAUCA